UUGCAGCUUUUAAUAUACCUUUGGAAAAAAUCUGUUGUCUGUUACUCAGGUUUCCACUACAGAUGCAAGAAAAAAAUGUCCUCUCGUUUUCUGUCUGAUUAUGGCAUCCCAGACUAAAUUGGGGAAUACAGGG
ensembl:snoRNA